CCCUUUUUGUGGGGAUUUUACACUGGUUUAGAGUCGCUAUGUCUGCUAGGCCUCUGUGUAUGAUGUCUUCCAAUUGUUCUCUGAGGGGAGCAAAGGGGUUUUCUGCCUUUCUGUGAUCUGGUAAUGGUGGAUCUGAUGUUUGUUCCUUUCUUUUGCUCUCAUCUGUUUCUGGAAUGCUUCAGUCAGCCCCAAGGUAAUGCUGGUUGGCUGACUGAGCAGUGCAGCUCUGGAAAUGCCUGGAGCUGAUGCACCUUUCCUUAAAGAGAUUUUGUGUUCUCCAAGUUUCCUUUGCAAAUCUUUUUAAGCUCAAUACCUUCUUGUGAAGUCUCUGUUUCCUCUUUCAUGAGUCUCACUGCAUAAUCUCCAACCUGAGAAUCCAAACUUGGUUUGUCUGCUGCCACAUUGUCCCAACGCAUUUUAUGACGCGUCCCUCUGUGUCCCCCUCCUCAUUCCUGCUGUGUCCUUGUGUCCCACUUGUGUCUUUGUGUCCUCUCUGUGUCCUCUCCCCAUGUCCCCUCAGCGUCUCCUGUGCCACGUAUUCAUUCCACCCAUGCACCCAGCUUUAAAGCUUCAAGUUGUGUAAGUAAGGCAAUUAAAAAACUGGCAAGCUUGCUUUUUGUUUUACCUAAGUGAUCUUUUAGCAAGGAAAGGUUGGAGAUGUUUCUUGCUAAUGGAAGAUGGAGAGAGGAGAAGCAAGUGAAAGGCAUGCUGUGCACAGCCAGCACACAGCACGUGCACCAUUGCCCCCUGUGCAAAGGAGGAGCAGCUCAGCAAGCUUGGCCUGGGCCACGGAAGGGAGCGUACAGAGGUCUGGAGCAGGCCCAAACGGGCUGGUUCUGCAGGAGGGCAGGUGGUGAACCUAAUGAGCCAAAGCCUGCAGAUGGGGUUUGUGGAGAAAGAGGUCCUGCAGGCCUUGUGUGGUAGCCACGGAGCUGGAGUGAGGCUGCGUCAGUGUAAAAGCCCAGCAAUGCACAGAGUAAGUCCUGUUGUUACAAACAGCAUCUUGGGGGCAACCUUGAUUUCUGCAGCCCCAAGCUUUGUGGCACGAGAGCCCUCCGCCAUGCUUCUCCCUGUGAUGUGUGACCGUAUGGAAGGCCUCGCAGAAGCCUGGUCAUAACCAUGGAACCACAGAAGCGUUACCCAGACAGAAGGAGCCUUUGUCACCUGGACUUCCUACCAAUGACACAGGCAGUGGAAGUCAGCAUCCCGAGCAUCCAUGAAACCCCUGCACAGGACUGGAAGAAAAACUUGGUGUCUGUGCCAAGGGAGACGUACACCGCACUUGCGCUGCCUGGAUGAUUUGGAAACUGGAAAUUCUGGGGUGUGCUGAAGCAUGCCCUCUCAGCUUUCGCUCGUGGAAGAACAGAGCAAAGUGACAAGGAACGGCUGCGGGUUCAAGACACUUGUCUACCUUGUUCUGAUCUCCUGCCAGCUUGUCGUGCCUGCUGUGAUGGGCGUCGCGUGCAGUGAGAUCAGCUGUGGGCCUGACAUGGCACGUGUGGAGACUGAGAACAACGGGAAGCCCCUGCUGGUCCAUGAGGAGUCAUCUCUUAAUAUUCCAGCUAUUGGUGCUGCCCAUGU